GUGGGGAAUAUUGGACAAUGGGCGAAAGCCUGAUCCAGCCAUGCCGCGUGUGUGAAGAAGGUCUUCGGAUUGUAAAGCACUUUAAGUUGGGAGGAAGGGCAGUAAGUUAAUACCUUGCUGUUUUGACGUUACCGACAGAAUAAGCACCGGCUAACUUCGUGCCAGCAGCCGCGGUAAUACGAAGGGUGCAAGCGUUAAUCGGAAUUACUGGGCGUAAAGCGCGCGUAGGUGGUUUUGUAAGAUGGAGGUGAAAUCCCCGGGCUCAACCUGGGAACAUCCUCCAAAACUGCAUGACUAGAGUACGGUAGAGGGUAGUGGAAUUUCCUGUGUAGCGGUGAAAUGCGUAGAUAUAGGAAGGAACACCAGUGGCGAAGGCGACUACCUGGACUGAUACUGACACUGAGGUGCGAAAGCGUGGGGAGCAAACAGGAUUAGAAACCCCUGUAGUCC
rnacentral:rRNA from 1 species